rnacentral:tRNA from 1 species
UAAGUAAUUAAUUCAACGGGUAGAAUAUUUCGUUUACACUGAAAAGGUUACUGGUUCGAAUCCAGUAUUACUU